AACGAACGCUGGCGGCAUGCCUAACACAUGCAAGUCGAACGAGACCUUCGGGUCUAGUGGCGCACGGGUGCGUAACGCGUGGGAACCUGCCCUUAGGUUCGGAAUAACUCCCCGAAAGGGGUGCUAAUAUCGGAUAAUGUCUUCGGACCAAAGAUUUAUCGCCUUUGGAUGGGCCCGCGUUGGAUUAGCUAGUUGGUAGGGUAAAAGCCUACCAAGGCGACGAUCCAUAGCUGGUCUGAGAGGAUGAUCAGCCACACUGGGACUGAGACACGGCCCAGACUCCUACGGGAGGCAGCAGUGGGGAAUAUUGGACAAUGGGCGAAAGCCUGAUCCAGCAAUGCCGCGUGAGUGAUGAAGGCCUUAGGGUUGUAAAGCUCUUUUACCCGGGAUGAUAAUGACAGUACCGGGAGAAUAAGCGCCGGCUAACUCCGUG
rnacentral:rRNA from 1 species